rnacentral:rRNA from 1 species
CUACUGGACCUAGCGGCGGACGGGUGAGUAAUGCUUAGGAAUCUGCCUAUUAGUGGGGGACAACGUUCCGAAAGGGACGCUAAUACCGCAUACGUCCUACGGGAGAAAGCAGGGGAUCUUCGGACCUUGCGCUAAUAGAUGAGCCUAAGUCGGAUUAGCUAGUUGGUGGGGUAAAGGCCUACCAAGGCGACGAUCUGUAGCGGGUCUGAGAGGAUGAUCCGCCACACUGGGACUGAGACACGGCCCAGACUCCUACGGGAGGCAGCAGUGGGGAAUAUUGGACAAUGGGGGGAACCCUGAUCCAGCCAUGCCGCGUGUGUGAAGAAGGCCUUUUGGUUGUAAAGCACUUUAAGCGAGGAGGAGGCUUACCUGGUUAAUACCCGGGAUAAGUGGACGUUACUCGCAGAAUAAGCACCGGCUAACUCUGUGCCAGCAGCCGCGGUAAUACAGAGGGUGCAAGCGUUAAUCGGAUUUACUGGGCGUAAAGCGCGCGUAGGUGGCUAAUUAAGUC